AUUGAACGCUGGCGGCAGGCCUAACACAUGCAAGUCGAACGAGUGGCGGACGGGUGAGUAAUGUCUGGGAACCUGCCCGAUGGAGGGGGAUAACUACUGGAAACGGUAGCUAAUACCGCAUACCAUCGGAUGUGCCCAGAUGGGAUUGGCUAGUAGGUGGGGUAACGGCUCACCUAGGCGACGAUCCCUAGCUGGUCUGAGAGGAUGCCCAGCCACCUUGGAACGGAGACACGGUCAAGACUCCUACGGAAGGCGGCAGUGGGGAAGAUUGCACAAGGGGCGCAAGCCGGAUGCCGCCAUGCCGCGUGUAUGAAGAAGGCCUUCGGGUUGUAAAGUACUUUCCGCGAGGAGGCGUUACUCGCAGAAGAAGCACCGGCUAACUCCGUGCCAGCAGCCGCGGUAAUAC
rnacentral:rRNA from 1 species